GACAUAGGUGGCGAACGUUAUCCGGAAUUAUUGGGCGUAAAGGAUGCGUAGAUGGUAGAAUAAGUUACUGGUCGAUGCCAAACUCAAUUUGACGGAAGCUGGUAAUACUGUUCUGCUUGAGGGCAGGAGAGGUUGAUGGAAUUCCUGGUGUAGCGGUGAAAUGCGUAGAUAUCAGGAGGAACACCGGUGGUGUAGACGGCUAUCUGGACCGUAACUGACGCUGAGGCACGAAAGCGUGGGUAGCAAACAGG
rnacentral:rRNA from 1 species